GGACCUGGCAUCAGAGAGUCGGGGAGGAGCACAACUUUGGAAUAGGGCAGACGUUGAUCAGAGCCAGUCUGCCGUUCACUAGCUCCAUGACGAUAGGAUCUGUUGGCAAAGAGCCAUGCUUGUGGUCCACGUCCUCCGUGCCGUGUACCAUAGAAUCAUCACCAUUGUCACAGAGAACGCAAAUGUCAUGGCAAGACUGGCUCGGAAGACUUGUUUCUAGCCCAGGAUCAGCCCCUGAAUGUUGGGUGAGUCAUUUCCCUUCCUCUGGGCACCAGUUUCCCCAUUUGCGCCAUCUACUUCAUGAACCCUUCAGACUUUAUAAGUCAUCACGACCAACCUGGAAAUUGAGCACACGCUUUACAAACCACAAAGCAGAGAUCAGAAGUACAGACACUGUUUUGAGUCAGGAAACUGGCAAAUGUUCAUACGUUCAUUUUCCAGAAGGGAAACUGAGGCAAAGUCCAAAGCAGCCUAAAGAUUCAUGGUUUCUGGUUGGAACCAUCCCUUAGUCUGUCUCCAAAGCCACACAUUUAAGGCAGUAAGACCCUGGGGAGAUAGAGCACAGAGUGCAUCCUAAGGAGAUGGGGGAAAAGAUAGAGAAAGCGAAAAGGAUGGAUGAGGAAAUGGGACUGGAGUUGAAGGAGGUGGAAGGGGAGAGAGUGUCUUGUUCUGUGGUGUCCACCUCAGAGGGGUUGGUGUGCCCUCCACAGAGGUCAGCCCCAUAACCUGUCUGGUGUUACGUGAGUCUCUCCAGUUUCUGUUCUAAAGAAGUGAAAUGAUACAAGGGCCCACAGGGCCCUGGCUGGAAGAUCUCUCAGACACAGACAGGAGGCCAGAGUGAUCACUGCUACUUUGAAGGGUACAGGAAAUGGCAGCAGGCUGGAACAUGGCCCUGGAAUAAAGGGAAACUGUCCCCUGGGGUGUUUGUGUGUGUAUGUGUGUGUGUGUGUGUGUGUGUGUGUAUGAG
rnacentral:lncRNA from 1 species